rnacentral:lncRNA from 1 species
UUUUUUUUUUUUUUUUUUGCUGCGUCCUAGGAAUGCAAAAGUAGCUAGGCCACCUGGGAGUUCCUCACCACCAUUCUUAAUCCCAGUUCUGCCCAGUCUCUCCCAAGGGAGUCUCUUAACCGUUUUUACUCAUUUUCCUUUACAGGUAGAAACUAUAAAGUAUUGUUUUAUAUGUAUGUGUUCUUAAUAUAAACAGUAUGGACUGUUUUAAUGAUUUUGUUAUUAUUGAAGAAAUUCAACAUGUCACAUUGUGUAAAUGUAAGGUAGGCAGCAUACAUUUAUGUAUUAUCUAUUGUAAUAUGAUUGCCGAUGCAGGGAUAUUUAUCCCAUUACAUAAUUAUAGUAUAAUGUUGUUGACUAUAUUCAUUGUAUUCUGCAUUAGAUCUCUAGGAUUUAUUUACUACUCGCUAUGAAUUUGUACCCUUAAGCACUAUCACGCUAAUCCCUCUCCCCACAUCCCUGGUAUCUGCUAUUUCACUCUGUGUUUUUAACAGGUUUAACUUUUUUAGAUGCCACAUAGAUGUGGUACCAUCUACUGCUCGUCUUUCUCUGUCUGACUUAUUUAGCUUAGGAUAAUGUGCUCAAGGUCCAUCCAUGUUGUUACAAAUGGAAGGCUAUCAUCUUUUCUUGUGGUUGAAUAAUAUUCCGUUGCAUGUAUAUAUUCCGCCUAAUCGUUUUUAUCCAUUUAUCCACUGAUGGGCAUGUGGGUUGUUUCCAUAGCUUGUCUUGGUUAUUGUGAAUAAAGCUGUGAUAAACAUGAGAGUGCACACAUAUCAUGAAAAUCUUUUCUUUUUUUUUUUUUUUUUUUUUUUUUGUCUUUUUGCCUUUUCUAGGGCCGCACCUGCGGCAUAUGGAGGUUCCCAGGCUAGGGGUCUAAUCGAGGAGCUGUAGCCACCAACCUACGCCAGAGCCACAGCAACGCGGGAUCUGAGCCGUGUCUGUGACCUACACCACAGCUUACGGCAAUGCUGGAUCGUUAACCCACUGAGCAAGGCCAGGGAUCGAACCAACAACCUCGUGGUUCCUAGUCGGAUUCCGUAACCACUGCGCCACGAUGGGAACCCCACUUGAUUUCAUUUUUUGAGGGGUACCUUCAGAAGUGGAAUCGCUGGAUCGUAGGUGGAUGUAUUUUUUUAUCUAACCUCCCUAUUGUCUUCCAUAGUGGUUGGACCAAUUUACAUUCUGAUCAACAAUAUACAAGGGUUCAGUAUGUGUUUGUUUUUGCUGCGUCUUAGAGCUAGGUCCUCAUUAGUACAUGAAUUCCACCUCAUUCUUUUGAACUGUUUUGUAGUGUUCUGUGGCACAGAUAAGCCCUAGUUUAUUUAGCCAUUCCCCCAUGACUUGUAAUUGUGUGGCUUUAGGGUUGUUUGUUUCUAGCUACUGUAAACAAAUGCUGCAAAGACCAUCCUUAUACAAGCUUCCUUCUGCACCUCUGUGGUUGUUCACUUCUCUAAGGUAGAAAUUGGUUUCUAGCCUCUGGGCCUCCAGGUCUUACAAAGGCAGCUUGAAUUCAGCUUUGUGCCACAGAGGGUCUUAAAAAUUGCCUCAACAUUGGAAGAAAGGGAAGUUACUUUUUAAUCUUGGCACAACAUUUGUCUGUUUCCCAGCUACAUAAAACGACUAUUAGUUUUCCCGUCUUGAUGACUAACUAUUGAUUAAGAAUGCUCUGCAUAGCAUCACCCCCCGCCACCGCCAGAAUAUCACUUUAAUAUUCUUUCUGACUUUUGUAGCUUGCCUGUUAAAUAUUCAUUUCAGGAAUAAAAAAUAGCAGCCAUCUUGUACUUACAGGAAAACAUGUAUAAACCAAGACUUUCAUCAUAAUGCAAAGAGCCACUCUGUAAGAAUAUCGUCUCUUCUUUUACCAAAUGAACCUUUAAUGAAUACAUGAGAUGAGAAAGAAAAAAAGGGGAAUGAUGUCAAAAUCGGAAAGCAUUUCUGCCCUGUGCCAACUGUCCCGUCGGCCUCAGGAUCAAUCCAGUCACAAAUCCUUUGAGCAGCUGUUUGCCCGUCAUGGACUAAUGAAGCUCUUUGAAUGCUCUGUUAUCCAUGUGAUGGAGCCGGAGAGGGAAUAAAGAAAGAAAGAAUGGACCAAGGAGAGACAUCCUAAAGAGAAACUCCUUUCCCCAGCCACUUGUGGAAAUCUAUUUCAGGUCAACUGGGACCAAUCGUGCGUUCUGGCCUUGGGCAAAAUUCUUCUUUGCAGUCAAUAAAUUAAUGGGUGACACCUUGAAAUGGGUUGGCUGAGGCUGAAUCAAUGUCUGAUGUGGCAAUCUUUCCCCAGGCCAAAUUCCCACUGAAGUUCCUAGGUUGGAGCUGACUGAAAAAAUGGACAGAUCCUUGAACGUUCUUUCUUCUUCAUCUUAAAAAAAAAAAAAAAAAGAAAAAGACAACUCUCUACUGAAAAAGCGGAAUGGCAUGUUUGGCACACACAGUCUCACUUUCCCGUCCUUGGCCCAUCAUCUCUUUAACUGGCGUGGACUAACUCCUGAUGGUUGCAGCUUUCAUUUGUAUGAAACGCUACAACGUACAGCGCUCUUUAUCUGCCGGAUUCGAGUUUAAUCUCUUCCCUCUAAUAACGUUGUCCGUAAGGCCCAAGAGCCAACUGUUCCUUUACAGUAGCUCCUUUUGAAAACGCUAGGCAGCAGGAAACAGAGAAGCCUGCUCUGUUGGUUCAGCUGGCUUUUACAGCUGAAGAUAACACGAACCACAAAUCUGUUGGGGUUGGUGUUUUCUUGGAGGGGGAGGAGAAUUGAGGGAGCCAAAUAAAGAGAAGUUUAAGUUUAAUAUUUCAUAACCGUGUGCUCUUUCCUAGGUUUUAUUCCUGUAAUAUUCUCUGUGUGUGGCCAGACCCUUCCUAACACAGCUCUAUUGAAGAAGCAGAGGGAAAAGGGAAAGGGAGGAAGGGCGAGGGAGGAGGAGGAUAAAAACUAGCCUUUGGGGGGGAAAAAAAGACCACGACUUUUAAGUACCAACCGUGACCUUAACGGGAUGUAGUCAAGGCCUCACAGAAUUGAGCUGGUCAUUCGAUUCUGAAAAUAGACUAGGGGGCAAAAGCGUGGGUAGCAUUUGCAGUGAGGCCAGCAGAGGGAAGUGACCCAUUUAGACUCUUCUCUGGAAAAAGCGGGUUCCCGAGGCAUCAGCACAGUGGAUGGACUGAGAGCUUGCCUUUCCCUAAGGGUGUAUUGGGUAAUGUCUGCUGGGAAAAAUGAAAAACAGAAAACAACAAUAAAUCUGGGGAACAAAGAUGGCUGAAACAUAGGAGCAAAAUCUUUUUUUUGUAAUUUGGAAACUUUUUGUGGAAUUGAAAAGUAGGAGAAAUUUUUUUUUUUUUUUUUUUUUUAAUCUCUGGAAGAAGAACAGGAAUUGGCAUGUCCACAUUAUGUAUGCAACGCUGUUUCUGCCACCAGCCUGGGAGUCUAACAAGCUUAGCUGCUUAGGAGAAGCAUAUUUUAUUUUCAGGUUGGCCAAGCUAUUUCCUGCCUUUGGAGCAAAAACCAGUGCAGCUACUGUACCCUGACGAUAUUUUUUUCUCUCUGAAUAUCAUAACCUUUUAAAUAACAAGCAUGCGGCUCUCUCAAGGGCUCUGAAAACACAGAGGUGGAGAAAUACAACAGCCCCAUUUUAUCCCUUUCCUCAAGGAGAACGCCCUUUUCUCUACAUCUUCACACCCCUGCUGGGGUUUCUCGAUGUAAAUGUGGAAGAUGACAAGUGUUUUGAUCACUCAAGAGUGAGAAAACGUACCCAAAACACACAGUAGUGAUUAAAUCACGUAUCCUUGAAAAAAAGCAAAGAACAUAAGGCCAGUUGUAGUUGCUGCGCUGGGUGGGGUCUGUCAAAGCAGAGCAGGGUUGGCGUUCCUGUUGCGGCUCAGUGGUAUGGAACCCGACUGGUAUCCGUGAGGAUUCAGCUUCGAUCCCUGGCCUCGCUCAGUGGAUUAAGGAUCUGGCACUGCUGUGAGCUGUGGUAUAGGUUGCAGAUGUGGCUUGGAUCCUGCAUUGCUGUGGCUGUGGUGUAGGCUGGCGGCUGCAGCUCCAAUUGGACCCCUAGCCUAGGAACGUCCCU